rnacentral:rRNA from 1 species
GCGUGUAUGAUGAAGGCCUUCGGGUUGUAAAGUACUUUUGGCAGAGAAGAAAAGGUAUCCCCUAAUACGGGAUACUGCUGACGGUAUCUGCAGAAUAAGCACCGGCUAACUACGUGCCAGCAGCCGCGGUAAUACGUAGGGUGCAAGCGUUAAUCGGAAUUACUGGGCGUAAAGCGUGUGUAGGCGGUUCGGAAAGAAAGAUGUGAAAUCCCAGGGCUCAACCUUGGAACUGCAUUUUUAACUGCCGAGCUAGAGUAUGUCAGAGGGGGGUAGAAUUCCACGUGUAGCAGUGAAAUGCGUAGAUAUGUGGAGGAAUACCGAUGGCGAAGGCAGCCCCCUGGGAUAAUACUGACGCUCAGACACGAAAGCGUGGGGAGCAAACAGGAUUAGAUACCCUGGUAGUCCACGCCCUAAACGAUGUCAACUAGCUGUUGGGGCCGUUAGGCCUUAGUAGCGCAGCUAACGCGUGAAGUUGACCGCCUGGGGAGUACGGUCGCAAGAUUAAAACUCAAG